AUUGAACGCUGGCGGCAUGCCUUACACAUGCAAGUCGAACGGCAGCACGGAAGCAAUCCUGGUGGCGAGUGGCGAACGGGUGAGUAAUAUAUCGGAACGUGCCCGGUCGUGGGGAUAACGUAGCGAAAGCUACGCUAAUACCGCAUACGAUCUACGGAUGAAAGCGGGGGAUCGCAAGACCUCGCGCGAUUGGAGCGGCCGAUAUCAGAUUGGGUAGUUGGUGAGGUAAAGGCUCACCAAGCCGACGAUCUGUAGCUGGUCUGAGAGGACGACCAGCCACACUGGGACUGAGACACGGCCCAGACUCCUACGGGAGGCAGGCAGUGGGGAAUUUUGGACAAUGGGCGCAAGCCUGAUCCAGCAAUGCCGCGUGCAGGAUGAAGGCCUUCGGGUU
rnacentral:rRNA from 1 species